UGUGUGUGUGUGUGUGAGUGUGUAUGAUGUGGUGUGUGUGUGUGUGAGUGUGUAUGAUGUUGUGUGAGUGUGCGAGUGUGUAUGAUGUUUUGUGUGUGUGUGUGUGUGUGUGUGUGAGCGCGUCUGUAUUUGUGUGAGUGUGCGAGUGUGUGUGUGUGUGUGAGUGUGUAUGAUGUUUUGUGUGUGUGUGUGAGCGCGUUUGUGUUUGUAUUUGUGUGAGUGUGCAAGUGCGUGUGUGAGUGUAUAUGAUGUUGUGUGUGUGUGUGUGUGUGAGUGUGUGUGUGUGUGUGUGUGUGGUUCAGUGAGCCACAGGAUGCUCGAGGAGGAAAAACGAACAGAGAGAAGGAGAGAGAGAGAGCGAUGGAUCUUAAAGAAGGAUAAAAGAGAAGAGAUGUUUGAGUCGACUCCUGCUCUGAACAGCUGGAAUAAAGUGAAGGUUCAGACACAGGAAGUGAGCUGUAGAUGAACAGGAAGUGGAUGCUGACGUUGUGGAAAUGGUGUACGGGUCUGGAGUGGUGUGAUUAGCGCUGCGCUGAUGAGAUUAGCCGAGCGCUACCUUCUCUCAGCAGGACAAAAAAGGACAAAAGUAAAUGAGUGAAGCUGCAGUUAAUGACGAAGGGAUGAAGAAUAAACAAUGUGUAACUCUGAAUCAGGAAAAUGACUAAAACACACGAGAAGCACUGACACCAUGCUGCAGAACUCAAAACAAACCGUCAUAAAACCUUUUUAUAGGUUUUUAUUAAUGUUUUAUUACACAACACUCUUACACACACACACACCGAGAACCUAGAGAACUCAGAGAACCCAGAGAACCCCGAGAACUCCGAGAACUCCGAGCAGGUUCUAGUCUGUUCUGUAGCUGACGUGACGUGGCUCUCAGUCUCCUCAUUUAUUAGCUUAUUUUAUUUUAUACUUUAUUUAAUACAGUGAUUGUAGAUAACUAGGAAGAUUUAUUGAUGUGUUGAUAUUUUUAGAAUGAUUACGGCUUUUUUUUCAGUUCAUUUGAAUCUCUCAGUCACGUGACGUUGUGAAAGCAGAGACGCACGAGAACUACAUUUUCCCAUGACCUCUAAAAACUUUAAACUUUUACACAAUAGGGAACAAAUCAAAUGUUUUUGAAUUAAAAAAGCUGAGUAGACACUGAGUAAACACACACACACACACACACUUACAGUAAUAAAACAGAGAAGAAAGAGAAACAGGAAGAAGAAAUAUCCGAGGUAAAUCCCGGUCACGAUAUUUAACACGCUUACGUUUAUUAUCUAUCAGUGUGUUUUAUUAUAACUUUCACUGCCGCGUCGAAGAUUAAAGGUUUAUUUAAUUCUUUUAAUAGAUUCAUAACAACGUGUUUUACAGAAACAUGAUCACGGACCUUAAAAGAAGUUUUAUAAACAAAAAAAAUUUACUAAGUAAAGGUUUUUUUUUUCAGUUUGCAAACUUGCAAAGACUA